rnacentral:rRNA from 1 species
ACGAACGCUGGCGGCGUGCCUAAUACAUGCAAGUCGAGCGGAAUGAUGAAGAAGCUUGCUUCUUCUGAUUUUAGCGGCGGACGGGUGAGUAACACGUGGGCAACCUACCUUGUAGAUUGGGAUAACUCCGGGAAACCGGGGCUAAUACCGAAUAAUCCAUUUUGCUUCAUGGCAAGAUGUUGAAAGACGGUUUCGGCUGUCACUACAAGAUGGGCCCGCGGCGCAUUAGCUAGUUGGUAGGGUAAUGGCCUACCAAGGCGACGAUGCGUAGCCGACCUGAGAGGGUGAUCGGCCACACUGGGACUGAGACACGGCCCAGACUCCUACGGGAGGCAGCAGUAGGGAAUCUUCCACAAUGGACGAAAGUCUGAUGGAGCAACGCCGCGUGAGUGAAGAAGGUUUUCGGAUCGUAAAACUCUGUUGUAAGGGAAGAACACGUACGAGAGUAACUGCUCGUACCUUGACGGUACCUUAUUAGAAAGCCACGGCUAACUACGUG